rnacentral:rRNA from 1 species
UACGAAGGGGGCUAAGCGUUGUUCGGAAUUACUGGGUCGUAAAGCGCACGUAGGCGGAUUGUUAAGUUAGGGGUGAAAUCCCAAGGGCUCAACCCUGGAACUGCCUUUAAUACUGGCAAUCGUCGAGUCCGAGAGAGGUGAGUGGAAAUUCCGAGUGUACGAGGUGAAAUUCGUAGAUAUUCGGAAGGAAUCACCAGUGGCAGAAGGCGGCUCACUGGGCUCGGGUACUGGACGCUGAGGUGCGAAAAGCCGUGGGGAGCAAACAGGA